rnacentral:sRNA from 1 species
AUGUACCUCGCGUACACUCCGGUUCUGAGCGCGCCGUCCGCGCCCAACUGACAGCU